rnacentral:rRNA from 1 species
CAGUCGCCGCGGUAAUACGAAGGGUGCAAGCGUUACUCGGAAUUACUGGGCGUAAAGCGUGCGUAGGCGGUUAUAUAAGACAGAUGUGAAAUCCCCGGGCUCAACCUGGGAACUGCAUUUGUGACUGUAUAGCUAGAGUACGGCAGAGGGGGAUGGAAUUCCGCGUGUAGCAGUGAAAUGCGUAGAUAUGCGGAGGAACACCGAUGGCGAAGGCAAUCCCCUGGGCCUGUACUGACGCUCAUGCACGAAAGCGUGGGGAGCAAACAGGAUUAGAUACCCCAGUAGUCCCUGUCUCUUAUAC